rnacentral:rRNA from 1 species
GAUGAACGCUGGCGGCGUGCCUAAUACAUGCAAGUCGAGCGAAGCGGGGACGGGUGAGUAACAUGUGGAUAACCUCCUAUAAGACUGGGAUAACUUCGGGAAACCGGAGCUAAACCGGAUGCUUACAGAUGGAUCCGCGCUGCAUUAGCUAUUUGGUAUGGUAACGGCUUACCAAGGCAACGAUGCAUAGCCGCCCUGAGAGGGUGAUCGGCCACCCUUGAACUGAGACACGGUCCAGACUCCGACGUGAGGCAGCAGUGGGGAAGCUUCCGCAAUGGGCGAAAGCCUGACGGAGCAACGCCGCGUGAGUGAUGAAGGUCUUCGGGUCGUAAAACUCUGUUAUUAAGGAAGCGGUACCUAAUCAGAAAGCCACGGCUAACUACGUGCCAGCAGCCGCGGUAAUUC